CACCCAAUGUGGGGCUCACUCCCAGGACGCUGGGAUCAUGACCCCAGCAGAAGGCAGACACCUAACUCUGAGCCAUCAGGCAGCCCUCCUGAUAAGAUUUUUCAUUUUUUCAAUAACCA